UACGGAGGAUGCGAGCGUUAUCCGGAUUUAUUGGGUUUAAAGGGUGCGUAGGCGGUAUGGUAAGUCAGCGGUAAAAGCCCGGGGCUCAACCCCGGCCUGCCGUCGGAACUGGGUGCCUUGAGUGGGCGAGAAGUAUGCGGAAUGCGUGGUGUAGCGGUGAAAUGCAUAGAUAUCGCGCAGAACUCCGAUUGCGAAGGCAGCCUGCCGCAGCGUUACUGACGCUGAAGCUCGAAAGCGCGGGUAUCGAACAGG
rnacentral:rRNA from 1 species